rnacentral:rRNA from 1 species
CCUACGGGGGGCUGCAGUGAGGAAUAUUGGUCAAUGGGCGGGAGCCUGAACCAGCCAAGUCGCGUGAGGGAAGACGGUCCUAUGGAUUGUAAACCUCUUUAGGCGGGGAGCAAUGCAGGGCACGUGUGCCCGGAGGGAGAGUACCCGCAGAAUAAGCAUCGGCUAACUCCGUGCCAGCAGCCGCGGUAAUACGGAGGGUGGGAGCGUUAAUCGGAAGUACUGGGCGUAAAGCGCUCGUAGGCGGUAUGUCAAGUCAAGGGUUAAAUCCCCGCGCUCAACGUGGGAACUGCCUUUGAAACUGGCAAACUGGAGUGUAUGAGAGGAUAGUGGAAUUCCAGGUGUAGGAGUGAAAUCCGUAGAUAUCUGGAGGAACAUCAGUGGCGAAGGCGACUAUCUGGCACAUAACUGACGCUGAGGAGCGAAAGCGUGGGUAGCAAACAGGAUUAGAUACCCCUGUAGUC